GGAAAUGUGGCCAUGCCUCCAAAUAUAGGAACGGCCUGGAGAAAACAUCCCAUCCCACCCCAGGGGGGCGCCACUGAGCAGAAUCUUCUCAGCAUGUGGGAUCAGAAAACACCGAUCAUGUGCAAGUCUCUGUGAUGGGUCUACGCACUCCCGUGGAAACCCAGCCUGUCCAGCUUGGCAGUGAAUUCUCAUGUACUGAAAUUGGAGCUGGCAGCCUGCUCAUCCAGACCUCUGCUCGCCCAGACGGAUGUGUCCACUGUGAUGCUGUCUUCGUGUCCACGGCUUCGCCCAUCCCCAGUGCUGACCAGCAUGGAGACUGGUGCCAUCUGAUGGCCUGGGCUGGACAGCAGCGCGAUGCAUGCUAGGUAAAUAAAGAUGGUGUGGCCGCUUUCCCUAUGAAGACACGUUUUCCGUGGAAAGAAAUUCAGGGAACGG
rnacentral:lncRNA from 1 species